rnacentral:lncRNA from 1 species
AGUUGUUGAAGCUGGUGAUGGGUUCUUGGCAAAGAUGACCCCUACAUAAUGACUGCCUUGCUCUGAGAGAAAGGAGCUGUUCUGUCAGGAAAACUCAGGAAGCCUGUGGGAAGACCCAGUGGUGAAGAACUGAAGUCUCCAGCCAGCAGUCAGCAAGAAGCUGGGGUCUGGCAACACCUGUGUGAAUGAGCUUGGAGAUGAGUGCCUUGGCCUGAACCAUGCAGUUUGGAUGGUGGAAUACAAGUCAGGUUUCCAGAGAAGAGCAGAAGUACUUGGGUCAGGAAACCGCUUCAGAAACUGAUUGGAGAAAACGUGAUGAAUGGUGAGUGGGCUGGUGCAAGAGGAUCCUGAAGGCAACCAAGAGGUCUUGCAGAAGCCGUCAGAACCGAAGUGGAGUCACCUGUGUC